rnacentral:misc_RNA from 1 species
CUUUAUCAAAGUCACAGCAGUUGUUCCGCUGCAGAAACAAUCAAUUGUUGGAUGCAAUUUUAGAUCCUUAUCCAUCAACUUAAAUGCCUUCAGCAUAGACUUUUUAAGCGGUAGAUACAUCUCCGGGAGUUUUUCAUUUUGCUCAAACUCCAAAGAAUUAUGUGACUCAUCAUCCAUGCUUGCUGCAGAUGCAGUUUCCUCAGAAUUUGUGCUUCCAGGAGUGUUUCUAGCCUUAUGAGGGCUGCUCUGCUCAUCAUUUGAACCAUCUUUCCACUGAGUACACAGCAUCAGCGGAAGGGAAUCCCGAACUUUCUUGGAAACCAUAUGACCAAAAGGACCAUGACCAUCAAAUACCCCACAAAAAAUUGUAUCACUUCUUGAGAUGAAAUUCUAUUUCAGAAACAGUUAAAUACAGUCAUCACAUAUCAAUGCCACAGAAAAAUGACAAACAAUAAUUGAUGAUAGUUACAAAAUUUUCAUGCUGAGAAUUGAUGUGAGCAAUGAUUUGGAAAGUGCAAUAAUAUAAAUGCCAUUUUUGCUGUAAAAGUUGGAAACUCAAACAAGGUGCGUCAAGAUGAAAUUUCAGAGAAUAAAUAGAUAACUCAUCACAAGACAAAAUGAGAGCCCCCCCCCACUAGAAAAUAUGAUUAGUAUCUUCAAUUCUAACAAAUUCUCUCAGAUUAACCAUCACCAAAUCUAGCUUUCAAACAUCAAGACUGAUCGAUCCCGUGCAUAGCUCAUACAUGUGCUGUUUACAGGCAUCCUAUUUUUAGCGGUUAGCAUUACUAAUGAAGGCAAUGUAAUAUAUUUUCCAAGAAUGAAUUAGGUAACUAAAGCACCUCUCAUUACUUGAGCAAAAAGAAUGCUAUCCCAAGCUUUGACUAUUUUUAUCCAGGCUUUUUCCUCUACUUGUCUUCUCUUUUCUCCUCUUCCUUUUUCUCACUUUCUUUUGUUUUAUUCACUGCAAAGUGUAAUCCGAAAUCAUGAACUCUGCAUUUUCACACAUUCAAUUUAUAAACAGUGUUUUCAUUAGCCACAAGCACCGCUGUGGAAACUGGGUACAUCUUGAACUAAAAAUAAGUUCCAAAUAUAUGUGGUUCCUUAUAAAAAGAAGAAUGGAGCAGUAAAGACCCUUCUCCUGCAAAAGCAUUGUUUUGUUCUCUCCAGUCAUCCAUGAAUAUUUAUGUGCUAAUCCAGAACAUAGACAUCAUGAUAUGACACCAAAACUUUUUUAUUGGACCAUAUUGUGGUCACCUUCCUUGUAUCAGAUUUCACCUAACACUAAUGCCAAACACUUGACUGUGAGAUGUGACUGCGAACGUUCAAAUUGCACGACAUAUGCCAUGAUUCACAAAUACACCGCCAGCUCAUCAUCUCAAGCUUGCAAAGGAGUCUAGACAGACAGAUACCCGAGUUGCCAUAUCAGCCUAAUUACUUGGGAUUAGCUACAGAAUAUCUGCUUCUAAACAUACUUGAUUUAAAAGCUACAAAUCGAAUUCUUAGCCAAUACAAUACAAUCUCUCAAAUUGGGCAUAAUUCAUAUAGAGCAUGACUAACUAGUAAGUCAAUAUAGAUGAUAAAUUGAGCCUAAAAUAAAGUAAUGAAGAUUGAGGAUAAAGAUAAAAGGGCUUUAACUAACCUCCC